CUACGGGAGGCACCAGUGGGGAAUUUUGCGCAAUGGGGGAAACCCUGACGCAGCAAUACCGCGUGAGUGAAGAAGGCCUUUGGGUCGUAAAGCUCUUUUCUUGGGGAAGAUAGUGACGGUACCCAAGGAAUAAGCACCGGCUAACUCCGUGCCAGCAGCCGCGGUAAUACGGAGGGUGCAAGCGUUGUUCGGAUUUACUGGGCGUAAAGGGCACGUAGGCGGCACAGCAAGUUAAGGGUGGAAUCCCGGGGCUCAACUCCGGAACUGCUCUUAAAACUGCUGAGCUAGAGAUAGUCAGAGGCGGGUGGAAUUCCAGGUGUAGAGGUGAAAUUCGUAGAUAUCUGGAGGAACACCGGUGGCGAAGGCGGCCCGUUGGGGCUAUUCUGACGCUAAGGUGCGAAAGCGUGGGGAGCAAACGGGAUUAGAUACCCUCGUAGUC
rnacentral:rRNA from 1 species